rnacentral:misc_RNA from 1 species
UUUCUAGAGCACGGGCCACCAGAUUAUAUACACUGACCUGUGAAAGUGACAAAAACAUAUUGUUGACUAACAACUGACAUUAACGACUUGUGAAUAUUACUUUAAAAAAAAACAUGAUUCGGUCGAAAAGUGUUAACGAUUUUCUAGACUUUGAGUCUCGCGAAGAUUUUGCAGUGUCCAAGUCAAGGACCUCGUUGUCAGUCCCGAAUGCACACCGAGACCAAGAUUUUAGAAGGAAUAGUAACAUCAGUUGUGAAACCUCCUCUAGCUGCUACAGCGAGUCUAACGAACAUUUGAUUACUGGUAACCGUUGCGACAGCUUGACCAUCCCCGAAAUCCUCCACGUGGCAGUUUUGGGAGACCGUGGGGUGGGGAAACAUACCUUACUUCAUUACUUUCGCGACACGGAGGAUAUCUGGAGCGAUCUCACAGGUGACUUUUUUCUUCUAUUUCAAAUACGGUCACUGCGGGUUACACGCACACAAAACGAAUCUACAAAGUAUGCUUGAUAAAUUAUAGCUUGAAAUUAAUCUUGGGCUUCACUUUUCUAGUUAGCAGUAAAAGGCGACAGAGAAUAUUGAAUUAAACUGUUGUAUAAUAUAUGUAAAGAAUUAUAAGGAAAAAGAAGACAGUUUGGCUUCAAAAUAAGACUAGAAAAUCAGAGUUUGACAUAAUAAUUGAAAACGACAUUAGACCGAAACACAUUUUCAUAGUAGGAAAUAAUUCACAAUAUAUAAAACCUUUUUAAGAUUUGCCUUUUUAAAAUGAUUUUACAGAUUUUGAGGAAGACACCGAAAUAUGUGUUUCUCUGGAUGGCAAGGAGACGUCCCUACUGUUUGUCGAACAGCAGAAUUUAGAGGUAACGAUUCUUAUAUUAAUAGGGUUUUUAAUCUAAAAUUCAAGAUCGUAUUAAUUAUUCACGAUGUUCAAUUGUGUUUUGAAACCAUUUCAGUCAAUAUUUAUGGUGCUAAACCUAUACCAAAAAUAGCAUUGUAUAUAAAUAUUUACAUCUGCAGUAACUGUUGCAUCCGCAAUUGCUCAAGACCGAGAAUUUCAAAAAUCAAUAAUCUGCACUUUUGAGAAAAUAUGAACCAUAAAUAAUUAAUAGCCUUGAUUUUUUUCUUUCUAGAAUGUAGAAGCCUGUGGUUAUAUGGAUGCCAUUGUUGUUGUCUACUCGGUUGCGGAUAUUUGGUCAUUUAAACUUGCGAAUAAGAUCGUUGGAGAAAUUCGGAAACAUUCCCAGAAGCCAGUAAUUCUCGUUGCCAACAAAGUGGACUUGGCUAGAGGACGCGCUGUUUCGACAAAAGAUGGUGAAAAGGUUGCGACAAGGUUCAGUUGCAAGUACGUGGAGAUAUCCCUAGUCCUCAACCAUAACGUCGACGAUCUGCUAGUGGGUAUCGUUCGUCAAGCUCGAGCACAGUCUCGUCACGAUUCAUCGAACUUAUCGUCAUCGACAGAAAAACAACGAAACAAAGUUCGACAAUUCACCAAUAAACUCGUCAAGAGAUGGAGAAAGAUUCGACCCAAACGAUCGCGGUGUAACAAUCUAUUUGACGCUUGAUGCAAGCGAUUACGAACUCUGCCUGAUGUGACAAUUGAAAAGCUGCCUUUGUCCUUUCUGUGGAACCUGACGUUAGCAACCCACAAUCGUUCUGGCAAACAAUCAGAAAACGAAGAAGAAUGUCGCAGACGACAUCGAAAUUGCAGACGAGAGUAGGCUCUCAGCACAAUUAACUUUUAAGGGGACAAUCGAAGAUUUACUCUGGAGAACUGUUGACAUUUAAAUUAUGCAGACAAAUUGCAUUUAUAUACAUUUAUUGCUCGUUAAAACCAAGAAACAUAAAGUUGUACAUCGCAAAACCUUAAUGUUUAGACACCACUCACGAAUUUAGUAAUUACUUUUUUUUUUAAUAAUUUUACAAAGGAGAAACAGACGAGACAGUAAAAACAAUUGAACAGUCUUCCACAUAUGCCAAUACAAAUGAAAAUUAAAAGUAAUAAAGUUCACAAUAAUUUAUGGUGCUUGAGCUAAUUAAUGAUAGUUCGGUAUUUUUAUCGUCGGUAUUUUUAUUGUUUUAUACAAUUUAUAUGCUCUUUACUGUAUUUAAUUUGUAAAUGGUUUUUAUAUGAAUAAAAAUUGACAAUG